AGAAAGUAAUCCUUCGAUCAAAUAGGUAAACGGAGUCAACGAAUGCAUCCAAUGCCAAAAUCCGACCAAAUUACUAUUAGGCUGCAGAACACCGUUAAAUGUAAUCACGAAUGUGAAUAACAAACUGUUGACAACGGACGCUGUUUGAGCAUUAGGGCACGCACUGGCGACAGCUUGGCCAAAAGUUGAGAAGUACAUUUGGAAGAACAUAUAAAGCAACCAAGCGUAACCAGUUUUGUCACCAGGAUGAUGAAUAUGCUUAUAAAACUUGAUUGGAUAAAACCAACAAAGGAAGAAAAGCGUGCCAAACACCAGGUUAAAUGGAAUUUCUACUAUAAUGGCUGAAAAUACGAAUGCAACCCAACUGUAAAUAUUCGAAGGCUUUUCUCUAACUUCAAAGACGUUACGCAACUCAAUAAAUUUUGGUUGAAGACCAUUAAUCAAAGGAACUGCAAGAACGGUUGCCAUAAACACAGCGAAAAGCUUGUUCUGAAUAUUCUGUACACCGAGACCUUGAUUAUAAAAUGUAAAUCCAAUAAAUAA